UUUUUUAUUUAAUUUAAUUUAGCUUUGCAGUCAAAGAUAAUAGUUUCGGUAUAGUGUUAGUUUUUCAACAGUUUUUCUUAAUUAUUUUUUCUUCAGUUUACUCAAUUGUUUUUCCAAUUUUAGAUACAGUUUAAGUUUACAAUACACACACACACACACACACACACACACACACACACACGCACAAACAUAAGCAUGCGCACACAAACAGAAAAAAUCACGGAACAAAAACUUUAUUGGCUUUUGUCUUCAGACUUAAGAAACAUUCCCUGACAUGAAAUGCAACUGUGGUGGUCUUCUGAAAAACGUAUUCCAUGUGUUUGUCCCAGGCCAGACUUUACAGCAGCAUGGAUGAAUCUGGGAAUAGUGCAGAACAGAGCUACUGGAUUGCCAUCAGAUUCCCGAAGAAAUACCCAGACAGUUACUACAACCUGGGACUCCUGUAUGUAGACCUGAACAGACACCUAGAUGCUCUGAAUGCGUGGAGGAACGCUUCAGUACUGAAGUCUGACCACAGUCUUGCCUGGAACAAUUUGGUCAGUGCUGGACAACACUGGCAACCUGUCCAAGGCGGAGGUGAUUGGCCGAGAUGCCCUGAAGCUCCUCCCUAACGACCACACCAUAAUGCUCUCAUUGGCUAACGUUCUGGGCAAACUACAGAAGCAUGAGCGGUGCUGUCCCAUCACUGGAGUAAGAUGGAGCUGGCAAAAAAGCACUAUGGACUGUCUCUGAUGCUGGACCCAGAGGCCCCGGGUACCCAGGACAACAUGCUGCAAUGCAAACUGGACCAGCUUUACAUUGCCAAACCACCCUGUGCCACUCAACUACUGACUGCAUGCCACCUACACACACACACACAGAUCUUUGAAUCAUGCUUGAAACUUCCAGUCUAAUUUUUGCUAUCCCUGUCAAAAUAAACGUUUAAAAAAAAAAAAAUCACAGU